rnacentral:rRNA from 1 species
UCGAGGGGCAUCGCGGGGUAGCAAUACUCUGGCGGCGACCGGCAAAGGGGUGCGGAACACGUACAGAACCUUCCUUUAAGUGGGGGAUAGCCCGGAGAAAUCCGGAUUAAUACCCCGUAAUAUUAUUGAGUGGCAUCAUUUGAUAAUUAUAGAUUUAUCGCUUAGAGAUGGCUGUGCGUCUGAUUAGGUAGUUGGUGGAGGUAACGGCUCACCAAGCCUUCGAUCAGUAACUGGUGUGAGAGCACGACCAGUCACACGGGCACUGAGACACGGGCCCGACUCCUACGGGAGGCAGCAGUAAGGAAUAUUGGUCAAUGGACGCAAGUCUGAACCAGCCAUGCCGCGUGAAGGAUGAAGGCCCUCUGGGUUGUAAACUUCUUUUAUUUGGGAAGAAACCACUUUUUUUUAAGGGUGUUGACGGUACCAGAGGAAUAAGCACCGGCUAACUCCGUGCCAGCAGCCGCGGUAAUACGGAGGGUGCAAGCGUUAUCCGGAUUCACUGGGUUUAAAGGGUGCGUAGGUGGGCUUGUAAGUCAGUGGUGAAAUCUCCGUGCUUAACAUGGAAACUGCCAUUGAUACUAUAGGUCUUGAAUUUUCUGGAGGUUAGCGGAAUAUGUCAUGUAGCGGUGAAAUGCUUAGAUAUGACAUAGAACACCAAUUGCGAAGGCAGCUAGCUACA